UUUGAUUACCGAAGAGUCUUAAAAGGUUUUCUGUCAGUUAAUCGCCAUCCAUGGUAGGACUCAGCAGGGCCUUAAGGUAAGUAUUACUACACAAGCACACACUACACGCGUGGCGUGCCGUGUGUCCUAGUGUAGUAAUACUUACUUUUAGUCCCUGUUAAGUCCUACGCAUUGAUGGCAAGUGCGCUGAGUUUCAUGUGUUGAAAGAUACUUAAUUCCCAAUGUCUACGUAAUCAAAAGGGUCGUGCCUGUACAAGCCUAGAGACAUAGCAAAAUCAGAGAGUUCUCAACAUCAAUCAUCAGUCAUCAAUCAACAUAACAAGUUGUCAAGCUUCAAUAUUUGUUACUCAGUUUGUUAUUCAUCUCAUAAACACUUUGUUUGUAAACUUCAUUUAAAUAUAGCGCCUUAUAAAUAGAAAAGCUUGGACCCUAAGAUUGAAACCUGCAUAAAUCAUUAAUUAUUAUUCUAUUAUGGAGACUAAAACUUGUUUAGGAGCUUACUUUGUAGGCUAAGUAUGGAGAGUGAACUCCUCUUAUACAAGAAACUAUAUCGAACGUGUAUAAUUAGAAAUAUAUGUAAAACCAAUAAAUCAAGCCAAAUCAAAGUCUCUAAAUGAAGUUGAUGGGCCGCUCCUUGCUGGCUGUCAUUGUAAGCUAUGCGAAUAAACAAAUAUAUAAUUAAGUAUGCACGAGCAGGAAUAUCAUUUUUGUUUAUAGCA